AGUUCUUACUGCCUGGAGAUGAAGCCCUGGAACCAGGGUGGAAAACUUCCAUCACACAGGAUAAGCACAGCCUGAGUCUCCACAAACCACUUAAGGAUGGGCUCCGUCUGUCCGCUGUCCGUGAUUUAGCACAUGUCAGCAGUCAACAGAAGAGAGGAGUGAGACAACGAACAACAUUGAUUACUCUGACUGAAACUGACCGCAGUCAGCGACUAGCGAGCAGGAACACGCUGCUGCAGGGACUCACUCGUGCGCUUUUCCACGGAUCCAUGAAAGAAGCGUAUCGCAUGAAAAGGAUUCAAAACGGAACAUAUUUGUUGGUGAUGACAGAUCACAAUGGCUGUGUUCAAGCAGCAGCAGGUUGAGAAUUUCUAUGAGAUUGGAGAGGAACUUGGAAGUGGGCAGUUUGCAAUUGUUAAGCAGUGUCGUGAAAAGAGCUCAGGCCAGGAUUUUGCAGCUAAGUUCAUAAAGAAGCGCCAGAGUAAUGCUAGCCGGCGAGGUGUGCUCCGAGAAGAGAUUGAGCGAGAGGUCAACAUCCUACAGCAGAUACACCAUCCUAAUAUUGUCAUGCUACAUGAUGUGUUUGAGAACAAGACAGAUGUGGUGCUGAUUUUGGAGCUUGUGUCUGGAGGAGAGCUUUUCGACUUUCUGGCACAGAAAGAGUCUUUAAGUGAGGAGGAAGCCACACAGUUUAUUAAACAGAUUCUAGAGGGCGUUCACUAUUUACACAUGAGGAAUAUCGCUCAUUUUGACCUGAAGCCUGAAAACAUCAUGCUUCUGGAUAAGAACGCCCCACUUCCCCGGAUCAAACUCAUUGAUUUUGGCUUGGCCCACAAGAUUGCUGAAGGGGUUGAAUUUAAAAACAUCUUUGGAACACCAGAGUUUGUUGCCCCAGAAAUUGUGAAUUAUGAACCACUGGGACUGGAAGCAGAUAUGUGGAGUGUUGGCGUCAUUACAUAUAUUCUGUUGAGCGGAGCAUCUCCUUUCCUAGGAGAAACGAAGCAAGACACCCUGGGAAAUAUCUCGGCCAUGAACUAUGAGUUUGAUGAUGAAUUCUUUGGCCACACCAGUGAGCUUGCCAAGAAUUUUAUACGACAACUGCUGGAAAAGGACACCAAAAAGAGACUCACAAUUCAAGAUGCCUUGAACCACCCCUGGAUCAAGUCUAAUGAGCAUAAGGACGAGCGCAGUAAAGCACCAGAGAGGAAGAGAGAGCGUAGGCAGCUGAAGACGAAGCGUCUCAAAGAGUACACCAUCAAGUCCCACUCUAGCAUGCCACCUAAUAACACCUACAUCAACUUUGAACGCUUCGCACAGGUGGAGGAGGAUGUGUCAGCAAUGGAGGGCACUUUCUGCCAGCUGGCGUCGGCUCACGACUCCUUGCAGGAAGACAUUGAUGCGCUAGUGUCCAUCUACAAUGAGAAGGAGAUGUGGUACAAAGAAGAAAGUGAAAGCAUCAGACACGAGUUGUCCCAGCUUCGUUAUGAGUUUCGUAAAGUCGAAGCCCAGAGGCGGGGCGUUCACGAAGACAUGAGGAGCGUGGAUGCCAGCGUUAGCCGAGUGAGCGAGCGAUAUAAGGAGAGGCAGACACGUUUUGAGGCCCUUCAGAAGGAGCUCUGUGCCGAGCUGCAGUGGGUACAGGAAGUGGUUGGUUCAUUCCAGGUCACCUUCCCAAGCUGUAGCUUUAGCAGCGUGUUUAAUACUGAUGUCAAUGAAGCUCUGAAAGAGUUGCUGAAUAGAUCCUGUGGAGGAGACCUGCUGACAGGCAGCAAUCUGGACCAGCAGAGAUGACACAUUAAUAACCCACCACCCACUGAUCACACAUCGUUAUAUAAACACGGGCGAGGUAAACAUGAUGAAGAGACUGAAUAAAAGCAGCAAUAAUAUAUACACCGAUCAGGCAUAACAUAUGACCACCUUCCUAAUAUUGUGUUGGUCCCCCUUUUGCUGCCAAAACAGUCCUGACUCCUUGAGGCAUGGACUCCACUAAGACCCCUGAAGGUGUGCUGUGGUAUCUGGCACCAAGACGUUAACAGUAGAUCCUUUAAAUCCUGUAAGUUGCUAGGUGGGGCCUCUAUGGAUCGGACUUGUUUGUUCAGCACAUCCCACAGAUGCUCGACUGGAUUGAGAUCUAGGGAAUUUGGAGGCCAAGUCAACACCUCAAACUUGUUGUUGUGCUCCUCAAACCAUUCCUGAACCAUUUUUGCUUUGUGGUGAAAGAAGCCACAGCCACCAGGGAAUACCGUUUCCAUUAAAGGGUGUACAUGGUCUGCAACAAUGCUUAGGUAGGUGGUACAUGUCAAAGUAACACUCACAUGGAUGGAAGGACUCAAGGUUUCCCAGCAGAACAUUUCCCAAAGCAUCACACUGCCUCCGCCGGCUUGCCUUCUUCCCAUAGUGCAUCCUGGUGCCAUGUGCCCAGGUAAGCAACGCAUAUGCACCCGGCCAUCCAUGUGAUGUAAAAGAAAACGUGAUUCAUCAGACCAGGCCACCUUCUUCCGUUGCUCCGUGGUCCAGUUCUGAUGCUCACGUGUCCACUGUUGGUGCUUUCGGCGGUGGACAG